UCACCACUCAAGCUCUGCUUGGUGUUGGGCCUCGUCCCUCGUGGAUGUGCCCGAAAAUCAGUGGCGGCACAGCUCGGCUUCAAGCGGUAUCGAUUUAUCUUCGCUUUGGAAGUCCGGUCCUGAGCCUGCCAGACAACCCCAUUUUCCAUCAA
rnacentral:rRNA from 1 species